CUCUUCCCCUCUUUCCCUCUCCUUUCACUCCCACAGCCACCACUGUACCUUUUUUCGCUGCCGGUAACCCUCGUCAAGUGAAGAGAUGAAUGAUUGAUCCGGCAUUGUUGGAGCUCGGAGCUCGGAUCCAUCUUCUUCAAAGCUUGGAAAAGGUGGAGAUUUUCAAGAGGAAGCUUUAGGAAGAAGAAGUCCUUCUCUCUUAUGUUUGGCGUGCAAAAAGAGAAGAGAUGACUUGAGAUUUUUAGGGUUUGGUUUUAGGAUUGUCUCAAUGGAAAAUUUUAGGGUUCUAACUUCACUAGAACCAUUUUUAGGAUUUUUCUUGGUGUUUCAAGAGAUCAAGUCUAUCUCUUUGUGCAAGAACAAACGAAGUUUGUGGAUUUUCAAGGCCCAUUAUUGCCGGAGGGGCGCGGGGCCGUGGCAAGGGUGUUGCGAAAUAGUUAGACCGAGUCAAUGUCUGAUUUGAGUGCAAAUGGAUAUUCACAAGGGUUCCAAUUAGAUGUAUCAGCUUAGAAUUGGCCAAAGGUAGAAAACUUUAAUUGUUAGGGACCUUUUAGCAUUUUGUGGCUUAAGUUGUGGAUUCCGACCAUGCAUCUGAGGAUGUUUAUCCUCUCCGUCUUCUCCUCCUCCGUAUGCUCUAGAGAGAGAGAAAACGUGAGAGAGGAAGGAUUGUAGGAGGUCCGAGAAGGCGAUCGGCACGCGCGCACGAUUUUCUGUCGCAUCGGAUUGGAGGUUGGUCUUAAAAUAUUAUAUUUUGGAGUCAGAUUUUUGAUGUAUAAAUUUUAUGGUGGGAUUUUGAUAGUGCUUGUUAGGAGAGGGAAUUUUGAUGGGUUGUUAGUGAAAUUGAGGUUAGCAAAUGGAUCUAUACGUGAUUUAGGAGCCGAUUUUGCGGAAUUUUCACCGAGGGAGCUUUCGGUGAUUUUGGGAGCUUUGUGGCUGCCGUACGGACAGGGGACGCAGCGGAGCACUUUGCGAAUUUCAACCAUCAUUUUCUAUUCCUUGGAUUCACGAGCUAGGGUCAGCUGAGUCGGUGGUUGUACGAGGUAAGGGGAUCGCACCAUAGAUAGCGACUGCUACCUGUAUCUUCCAGUUGUAGAGGAGCACCCAGCUGGAUAGCUUUCAGAUUAUACUGUACAUUAGCACUUGCAAGGCUCAGGCCUUUCACAUUUUUAGAGGCCGAGUUAGAGCAUGGGAAACUAAAAUAUGGAGGAGUUUUGAAGGAUAUCUACGACCUGAAGAUUUUAUUUAAUUCUGUCAAUCCAUGCGUAGAAUCUUCUCAAUAAUCGGCGGUCUGCUCUGUAGAGGAAAGCAUAUAUAGGCAUGCCAUUGGAGAUUAUAUGAAGGUUAAUUCUCUCGUACUCUUUGGUGGCAAGCUGUACUAGGAAGAGGAAAAGUUCUCGCCGACAAUUCGAGUCUAAGCGUGCAGCAACUCACUAAUGGAUCCAAAUUGAUGCUAAUCGCUUCUCAAGGCCUGCAUCAAGGGGUAAAUUUCUUCUGGGGAAUCGAAGUAUUUAGUGUUUUAGUUGCUGAGAGUUUAUCGAGCCAAGAAGAAAGGAAGGGGACCUACUACAAAUCCAAAUACGAAAAAGAGAAAAGAGGAAAAGAAAGGCAAAGUGGAAUUUUCAAAACGCUUGGGUCGAGCUGUGGGCGGUCUUCAGCUGGCAGAAUUUAUUACAGAAAUGGGAGUCGUAUGGCGACAAUAUGCACCACUUAAUGUUUACAAAUGGGCUGAAGGACCUAUGCCUUAUAAGGAUAAGAUGUGGGAUGAUUUAAUGGAAAAAUAUGAUGGGCUUGCUGGUUUUAGAGAUGAAGUGAUGUAUAAUUUCAAUCAUAUGUAUAGAGAUUGGAGACAUCGCAAGCAUCUACAUUAUAAUCAAUUUCUGACAGAUGAAGAAAGGCUUCAAAAUUGUCCAGAUGAUAUUAUAGAAUCAGAUUGGGCAUCUUUAGUUGAAUACUUUGGUUCUGUACCAUUUAAGAGAAUGUCGGCGCAUAAUAAAGCAAAUCGAGCAAAACAAUCAUCUCAAUCUGUGGAAGAAAAUCAUUUGCUACUGUCCUAUAUGAUAUGAGGGAUCCAGAAACGGAGGUUGAUCCUGAUUUAACUGAAUAUUGGAAGGCUACACACCAGCGAAGAACUGAUAAUUCUUGGUGUUCUGAGAAGGCUCAAAAUGCUAUGAAACAAUUUGAGCAUGUAAGAAAAUCACAAGAAGAGUUAGGUGAUCCUCCAUUAUCAACGGAAGAACAUUUAACAAAGGCUUUUGGUGCACGCUCGGGAUAUUUUCGUGGUUUAGGAUGUGGACCUAAGCCACCAAGUAGUAAGAAUUUGGAAGCUAAAGCAUCAAAAGAGGCUAUUGAGUGACAAAUAGAAGAAUUGAAGAAUGAGCUGAAGCAAUCAAGAGAGGAGAAUGAAGAGCGAGAAGCAAGCCUACAAAGAGAAAAAGAUGAGAGAGAGGAGAGGUUUAAAAAAGAAAUUGAGGAGAUUAAGGCCCACUUUAAAGCUGAAUUUAAUGAACAAUUAAAGAUAAUUGUUCAAUUAUAUGGAGCACCGACCACAUCAUUCCCUCCUUCCACUCAAAAUCAUUAGUGGAAUUUCUUAAUUGAAGGGUCGAGAUGUCUACAUCCUGGUAAGCUUAUUGUCUACAUCCUGGUUUAAUUGUUGGAGGACUUGCUAAUAUUUCAAAUACAGAAACUAACAUUAGAUUUAUAAGAUGUGGUGACGAGAAAAAUUUUGGUCGUAUUUUGGCGAUGUAUUGAAUCAAGUUUAAGAAUUUAGACAUAUUUUGAAAACUUUAUAUUUGAUAGCAUGUGGAAAUGACAAAAACAUUAUUAUUGUGUUUUGUUUUUUGGUUGUGUUGGGUGAUUGUAUUAGGUGACAAUGCAAUGAUACUCUAACAUGGUUUUUGUGAGACAAUUUAAGUUACUUAUUUGCCUUAUAUGAUUAUUUA